rnacentral:rRNA from 1 species
UUGUGAGGUUAAGCGACUAAGCGUACACGGUGGAUGCCCUGGCAGUCAGAGGCGAUGAAGGACGUGCUAAUCUGCGAUAAGCGUCGGUGAGGUGAUAUGAACCGUUAUAACCGGCGAUUUCCGAAUGGGGAAACCCAGUGUGUUUCGACACACUAUCAUUAACUGAAUCCAUAGGUUAAUGAGGCGAACCGGGGGAACUGAAACAUCUAAGUACCCCGAGGAAAAGAAAUCAACCGAGAUUCCCCCAGUAGCGGCGAGCGAACGGGGAGGAGCCCAGAGCCUGAAUCAGUGUGUGUGUUAGUGGAAGCGUCUGGAAAGGCGCGCGAUACAGGGUGACAGCCCCGUACACAAAAAUGCACAUAUUGUGAGCUCGAUGAGUAGGGCGGGACACGUGGUAUCCUGUCUGAAUAUGGGGGGACCAUCCUCCAAGGCUAAAUACUCCUGACUGACCGAUAGUGAACCAGUACCGUGAGGGAAAGGCGAAAAGAACCCCGGCGAGGGGAGUGAAAAAGAACCUGAAACCGUGUACGUACAAGCAGUGGGAGCCUCUUUAUGGGGUGACUGCGUACCUUUUGUAUAAUGGGUCAGCGACUUAUAUUCUGUAGCAAGGUUAACCGAAUAGGGGAGCCGAAGGGAAACCGAGUCUUAACUGGGCGUUAAGUUGCAGGGUAUAGACCCGAAACCCGGUGAUCUAGCCAUGGGCAGGUUGAAGGUUGGGUAACACUAACUGGAGGACCGAACCGACUAAUGUUGAAAAAUUAGCGGAUGACUUGUGGCUGGGGGUGAAAGGCCAAUCAAACCGGGAGAUAGCUGGUUCUCCCCGAAAGCUAUUUAGGUAGCGCCUCGUGAAUUCAUCUCCGGGGGUAGAGCACUGUUUCGGCAAGGGGGUCAUCCCGACUUACCAACCCGAUGCAAACUGCGAAUACCGGAGAAUGUUAUCACGGGAGACACACGGCGGGUGCUAACGUCCGUCGUGAAGAGGGAAACAACCCAGACCGCCAGCUAAGGUCCCAAAGUCAUGGUUAAGUGGGAAACGAUGUGGGAAGGCCCAGACAGCCAGGAUGUUGGCUUAGAAGCAGCCAUCAUUUAAAGAAAGCGUAAUAGCUCACUGGUCGAGUCGGCCUGCGCGGAAGAUGUAACGGGGCUAAACCAUGCACCGAAGCUGCGGCAGCGACACUAUGUGUUGUUGGGUAGGGGAGCGUUCUGUAAGCCUGUGAAGGUGGCCUGUGAGGG